AGGCCUAGGUAAGUGGGCCACCUCUUAUCCGAAACAGACAUACCAGGGAGCCAAUGGGAAGGAGGGUUGAAGGAGAAGAGCCAAUAGAGGCUCCCUCCCCCUUCAAGGUCCAAGAGCUGCUCUCUGAGGAGGGAGAAGCUCUCUGUCCUCCUGAGGCAAUUCUCUUGGUGGGGCAGGCUGGGGAGCCAGCCAGCUUGGCUCCAGCCUGGCUCCAACUUCUGGGCUGUGGGCUUAACACAGAAUAGUGGCACCCGCCAUAGUACACAUUAACCCUUCCUCCUCCUCGAGUCCCUCCCUCAGGCUGCUUAAGCAGAUGGGAAAUAUGGCCGCUCUCUCACAUCACCCCACACCAACUUGGUAAUUAUUCCGUUCAGUUCUGAGGAAACAGGACUUGUGGGGUUUGUUAUUCCUGAUUAAUGACUUUGGGUGCCUUGCUCCAUGAAGGGACUCUGCCCCCUGAAGGACACCCUGCCGGGCCUCAAGGGACCAAAGCAAGGAUAGGCAGCUGUUUGGCUCUUCUGGAACCUUCCAUCAGCAACAAUAGCAGCAGGAUGGCCACUCUCAGCUUCCAGCUAGGCCCCACAAUGUGCCAGGCCUCCAGGAGGCUGGGUGAGCAAGUGGGUGCUGAAGCCUACAAGUGGUGAUGAAAGGGAAGAACUUCCACCAUCUUCAAUAAGGGGUAAGAAGAGUUCCUCUCCUCAACUGAGCAGUGCCAUGCUGUUGCCACAGCUUUGUCUCAAUGGCUUGUUGAGGAUGGAAGAGUCCUUACCAAGGACCUACCUGGAGAGGAGUUCAAUCGCAGACUCUGUGCUUCAUCCAUCAGCUGGACAAUCAGAUGCAGAAAUUAUUUCUUCAUCUUUGAUUUAUUAGACUUUACCAGAACCAAAAGAUGCUAUGAAACAGUAAAGGGAUUGGUCUGAAAAAAAAUCAUACAGAAAUUCACCAAAGAGUCAAUUAAUCUGCAGAAACAAACUGUUCAUGCCCACUUGGUGACUCUGGGCCUCCUUACUACCAUCUGGAUCUCAAAGACGCAUGAAAAGAAGAGCCUAGAAAAGAAGUGCAAGAGACACCAACAGCUCUGCAACAUCAUUGAGGCACAGUGUCCAGAACUGUACGCAGUACUUCAAGAGUUGCUGCACCGUAGAUAUUGACAGUUUUAUUUUGAUUCCUUUCUUAAUGAUUCCCAACAUGGAAUUUGUCUGUUUCAUAGCUGCUGCAUACAUUGUCAUUCCGAUAUUCAUCAUGACAUUACGAUUUGUUGUCACUGUUGGUUAAGACCUGAAUAGUAUAUAUGAAAGUAGGAUUUUUCUUACCCCAAUUUCUAUCAUUUUACACUUGCUUACAUUGAAACACACUUGUCAUUUAAUGCCCAUUCACCCAACUUGGGGAUAUGUUUUAAUCACCUUGUAUGACUUGGUGUUAUCAGCAGAGGGUGCUAUGGUAGUGGACAGAGGCAUCAGGUGAUGAGAUGGGGCCAUACUUGCACUUUGUCUCCCCUUCUGACCUGUCUUCCAUCCCCAAUAACUUAGGUAGUGUUACUACUAAUGAUUGCCAGGUUGGUGAGUGGGAAAAUACCUACUGUCUCUGAUUUGAUUUUGGAAGAGCAUAACAACUAGGCAGAGAUUGGUGAGAACUGGUUGGAUGAAAAGGGGUGUGUAUGUUUCCCCAUUUGGACAAGGUUUCUAUUUUCUGAAGGAAGCAAUCUUAUCUCUAAGAGCUUUCUUGAUUUGGCUCAUUAACCAAGCUGGCAUCCUCUUGGCCUUAGUGAUACCUUUCCUGAAUGUAUUAUACAUUCUAGCUGAGCUUCUAUUAUUGAGAAUAACCUCCAGAUAUUUUGGAGAUAUUUAAUCCAUUUGACUUUCUCUUUCAAAUUCUUUUCUACCAGUGCACCUCUUUUGAAGUCAAAUGUGAUGGUGUUGGA